rnacentral:lncRNA from 1 species
AUGGAAAUUUUAAGUCUUCUGAGGAAGCACCAUUGCAUGCAUGCUAUGUUCUUGCACUCUUCUCUUGACAUCUGCUGCUGCAUCCUUGUCUGUCUCCAUGGCCUGGGCUGGGUGGACCUCUGGUCUUGCAUAGAAAGCUGUGGUUAUGGUAUAUCCUUCUACAGACAGCUGGAAGUAGCCUCACGAUCCCAGGCCCUGGUUCUCAUGGGGGACUUCAACCACCCCGAUAUCUGCUGGAAAGACAACACAGCUAGGCACAAACAGUCCUGGAGGUUCCUGCAGAGCGUUGGUGACAACUUCUUGACACAGGUGGUGGAGGAGCCAACAAGGAGAGGUGUGCUGCUGGACCUCGUACUAACAAACAAAGAAGGACUGGUGGAAGAUGUGAAGGUCGGGGGCUGCCUUGGCUGCAGUGACCAUGAGAUGGUGGAGUUCAAUAUCCUGCGAGGAGGCAGCAGGGCACUAAGUAGGAUCGCAACCCUGGACUGCAGGAGAGCAAACUUUGGCCUCUUCAGGGACCUACUUGGAGGAAUCCCAUGGGUGAGGGCCCUAGAAGGAAGGGGAGUUCAAGAGAGCUGGUUAAUAUUCAAACAUCACUUCCUCCAGGCUCAAGAGCGGUGUAUCCCUAUGAGUAGGAAGUCAAGCAAAGGAGGCAGGAGACCUGCAUGGAUGAGCAAGGAGCUCCUGGCAAAACUCAACCAGAAGAAGGAAGUCUACAGAAAGUGGAAAGGGGGACAGGCCACUUGGGAGGAAUAUAGGAACAUUGUCAGAGUAUGCAGGGAUGCGACGAGGAAGGCUAAGGCCCGUUUGGAAUUAAAUCUGGCUAGAGAUGUCAAGGACAGCAAGAAGGGCUUCUUCAAAUACAUCAGUAGCAAGAGGAAGACUAGGGAGAAUGUGGGCCCUUUGCUGAAUGGGGUGGGUGCCCUGGUGACGAAGGAUACAGAGAAGGCAGAGUUACUGAAUGCCUUCUGUGCUUCAGUCUUUACUGCUCAGGCCAGCCCUCAGGAACCCCAGAUCCUGGAGGCAAGAGAGAAAGUCUGGAGGAAGGAAGACUUUCCCUUGGUGGAGGAGGAGUGGGUUAGAGAUCAUUUAAGCAAACUUGACACCCACAAAUCCAUG